AAGUCGUAACAAGGUUUCCGUAGGUGAACCUGCGGAAGGAUCAUUACAGAAUUUUGAGAGGGGUUGUAGCUGGCCGGAAGGCAUGUGCACGCCUCGAUCAUCAUCCAUCUCACACCUGUGCACAUACUGUAGGUCGGUUUGUGGGGUGAAGUCUUCAUUGAUUUCGCUCUGUGGGCCUUCCUAUGUUUUAUUACAAACUACUAGUUUCAAGAAUGUCUACUGCGUGUAACGCAUUUGUAUACAACUUUCAGCAACGGAUCUCUUGGCUCUC
rnacentral:misc_RNA from 1 species